rnacentral:rRNA from 1 species
AUUGAACGCUGGCGGCAGGCCUAACACAUGCAAGUCGAGCGAGCGGCGGACGGGUGAGUAAUGUCUGGGAAACUGCCUGAUGGGGGGGGAUAACUACUGGAAACGGUAGCUAAUUCCGCAUACCAUCAGAUGUGCCCAGUUGGGUUUAGCUAGUAGGUGGGGUAACGGCUCACCUAGGCGACGAGCCCUAGCUGGUCUGCGAGGAUGACCAGCCACACUGGAACUGGGCCACGGUCCAGCUUCUUACGGGAGGCGCCAUUGGGGAAUAUUGCACAAUGGGCGCAAGCCUGAUGCACCAAUGCGGCGUGUGUGAAGAAGGCCUUCGGGUUGUAAAGCACUUUCAGCGGGGAGGCGUUACCCGCAGAAGAAGCACCGGCUAACUCCGUGCCAGCAGCCGCGGUAAUUC